UACUUAAAGAGGGGCUUGCGCCACAUUAGUUAGUUGGUAAGGUAAAGGCUUACCAAGACGAUGAUGUGUAGCUGGACUGAGAGGUCGAACAGCCACAUUGGGACUGAGACACGGCCCAAACUCCUACGGGAGGCAGCAGUAAGGAAUUUUUGGCAAUGGAGGAAACUCUGACCGAGCGACGUCGCGUGAACAAUGAAGUACUUCGGUAUGUAAAGUUCUUUUAUUGAAAAAGAAAAAAUAGUGGAAAAACUAUCUUGACAUUAUUCAAUGAAUAAGCCCCGGCUAAUUAUGUGCCAGCAGCCGCGGUAAUACAUAAGGGGCGAGCGUUAUCCGGAAUUAUUGGGCGUAAAGGGUGCGUAGGCGGUUUGAUAAGUCUAUAGUUUAAAUGCAGUGCUUAACGCUGUAGCGCUAUAGAAACUGUCUGACUAGAGUUAGAUAGAGGCAAGCGGAAUUCCAUGUGUAGCGGUAAAAUGCGUAAAUAUAUGGAGGAACACCAGAGGCGUAGGCGGCUUGCUGGGUCUUAACUGACGCUGAGGCACGAAAGCGUGGGGAGCAAACAGGAUUAGAUACCCUGGUAGUCCACGCCGUAAACGAUGAGUACUAAGUGUCGGGUUUCGGCUCGGUACUGAAGUUAACACAUUAAGUACUCCGCCUGAGUAGUACGUACGCAAGUAUGAAACUUAAAGGAAUUGACGGGACCCCGCACAAGCGGUGGAUCAUGUUGUUUAAUUCGAAGAUACACGAAAAACCUUACCAGGUCUUGACAUAAUUUUGCGACAUUAUAGAAAUAUAAUGAAGGUUAUCAGAAUUACAGGUGGUGCAUGGUUGUCGUCAGCUCGUGUCGUGAGAUGUUAGGUUAAGUCCUAAAACGAGCGCAACCCUUGUCGUUAGUUGCGACCACGUAAUGGUGAGCACUUUAGCGAGACUGCCAAUGAAAAAUUGGAGGAAGGUGAGGAUUACGUCAAAUCAUCAUGCCCCUUAUGAUCUGGGCUACAAACGUGAUACAAUGGCUGUUACAAAGAGUAGCUACAACGUGAGUUUUUAGCCAAUCUCAAAUUAACAGUCUCAGUUCGGAUUGAAGUCUGCAACUCGACUUCAUGAAGUUGGAAUCGCUAGUAAUCGCGAAUCAGCAUGUCGCGGUGAAUACGUUCUCGGGGUUUGUACACACCGCCCGUCAAACCACGAAAGUUGUCAGAAGAGGGAGCCGUCUAAGGUAGGAUCGAUGAUUGG
rnacentral:rRNA from 1 species